rnacentral:lncRNA from 1 species
CUACCUAGUAGGCAAGAUGUAGAGUAAGUGGUUGUGAAUGGACUCUGGGCCUAGAUCUCAGAUUGAAGCAUUAUUAAGACCAUAAACCAAAUAUCAAGAGCUAAGCAGAUUGUCAAAAUGGAGUUUUGAACCCCGGACUUCAAUUCCCAGAAGUCCUUGGCCACUUCCCAAAAUGCCUUGUAACCUCACCUGAAUUCCCACCUGGGCUGAGAACAGAAAUUGUAUUUAAGCUGACUCUCCGCCUACCUCAGGUUUCUCGGCUUCUGCUUCUAGGGACACGCUUCUCCCAAGAUUUGAAGCUGAAUUUCUGCCACAAGCAUGACUUCUACAAUGGAUCACUGCUAGCUGUUUAGGUUUUGGGAUAGCAUCCAGCAACUCAGUUAUUAUUUCUGCAUGUGCAAUUGGUUUUCCCAAUGCAGUAAUAAAAUAUUGUUGUUUCCAGAUCUUCCCUGUUGC